CUGGCAACCAUUUCCACAGGACUAAGUCUCAGGAGAGAAGAAGCAGAGGAGUCACACCUAAGAUUUAAUUAUAAGAGUUCUGGAGUUCUACAGAACAUGGAUUCUCAGGACAAGUUCAUCAUGUCAAAGAAAAUAAAUGUAGUCCCAGAUGGCUCCUGAUACAUCUAUCCAGGACAUUCAGAGAUGAGAACAUCAGACGAAUGAAGCAUCUGAAGGUAGAUGAUAAUCCAACCUAUCAAAAGAAGAUGUCCCGAGAGGAAGGGCAAACUGGUAACUUGGGAAGACUUCAGGACUUUAACUUAUCAAGCUAAGACUUUGGGGAAACAACAAUGACAUUAUUAUACUAUUGACUCCCCAAAUGAUGUUAUUACAUUUAAUGGCUGUUAUUACAAGUUAAUUAUCGGCUUGUCA